rnacentral:tRNA from 1 species
AGGGACUUAGGCUUAACUUAGACCCAGGGCCUUCAAAGCCCUAAGCGGGAGUUAAAGUCUCCCAGACCCUG